rnacentral:lncRNA from 1 species
GAUGGUGUUCACUGUCACACUGAAGCUCGCACUGGACACACAUUACUGGACUUGGAUAAACCACUUUGUCAUCUGGGGGUCGCUGCUGUUCUACAUCGUCUUCUCCCUGCUCUGGGGAGGGAUUAUCUGGCCGUUCCUCAGCUACCAGCGGAUGUACUAUGUGUUCAUAUACAUGCUGUCCAGCGGGCCUGCCUGGUUGGGCAUCAUAUUGCUUGUCACAGUCGGCCUCCUCCCUGAUGUCCUCAAGAAGGUCCUGUGCAGGCAGUUGUGGCCCACGGCAACGGAGAGAACUCAGGCCAGGAACAAGUGCCUUUCUGUUGAGCAGCCCACCGUGUUUAUGCUCUCGCAGACCGCCAGUGGUCUGAGUUUCUGACCAACAGACUGUACAGCUCCGGGACAGCAUUUCAGAAUUCACCCCUCUGGCCUCUCUGCAGAGCCGGGGUGCUCAGGGCACCAGACUCUUGGCUGCCCAAUGC